AAAAGGGGUGGGAGAACUUGCAGCAACGCAACUUUUAACUUUAAUCGCCUGCACUGGCGCUGAGCGGAGAUUUUCCCAGUGAGUUUUGAAGGCAGUCCCUUCCAGUUCUCGGGAAUGGGGUUGUUCCCCGAACUCAGUCCCUCCCCGAGUCCGCACUGCCACCAACUGGUCCGAGGGAAGCAUGGCAGGUGGGGCGGAGGUAGGAAUCAGACCCGAGCAGAGCCUGUGAGAGGGAGAGACAUCGGAUUCACACGAGAGAAAGCUGGACGUGGUGAAGUUUAGAAUCAAUUCAGAGCAGCGACUGGAACGAGAGCGAGGGAGACUGAAGGCAUUAAUGAACAACAAUUAGCUCGGGUCCUGGACAUUAUUCACAUGAAGUGCAAUGUAGAGGGCAGUUGAGAGUCAACCACACUGGUGUGGGUCUGGAGUCACAUGUGGACAAGACCAGGAUCUGAACUAAACCAAGAUGUGCCACAGCACUUGAGAAUUCACUUUGAUUCUGCUUGGCAUUCUUGCAAAUCUCUGUUGUUUCGGGUUUCUUGGUGUCCCUCCACUAGCACUAAACACCUGAUGAUUGUGAGUAUGCCAUCUCAAGCUAGGGCUUCACUGCUUUCUUCCUUUAGUGGUCUGCAAUUGAUUCAUCCAGAAGAACUAAAUCAGGGAAUGUUUUCAGUUUGAAAUUAAUGUAUAAAAGAUAAUCACAGGCCAUUUAACCUGUAUGCCUGAACUGUCAUGAAUAUUGUAAGAACAACGGUAGAAAAGCAGUGAUCAAGAUAAAUGGUCAACAAUUUGGGAUCAAUAUUGGGAAGCAUCUUGUCAGAUCAUCAUUAAGGAAAGGGGGCUGCGACAUUUUUAGCAAGAAUACAUUCUGCAAACACAGAAUUGCACACCACAUGAAUGAGUAACAAUCCUGAAAAAUAAUUGUCAAGGCUGUGUACCUUUCUGCAUGGGGCUGAAAUGUUGACCUUAAGAAAAAGCAGAUAGUCUAGAAAGUUGUCAAAUGUGAUUUUUUACGUUCACAAGAUGUAGAUGCAGAGGUAGGCUAUUUAGUCCAUCGAAUCUACUUUGCUAUUCAAUGAGAUUAUGACUUCUUUGACAAUCCUCAACUUUACUUUUGUGUCUUUUCCCCAUAACACUUCAUUCCAUUACUGACUAAAAAUUGGUCUAUCUCAGACUUGAAUAGACUUAACAACCCAGCCUCAACAGCCCUCUGCCAAAAAGACCUCCACAGACUCUCCAGAGAAGGAUGGGACACAUCAAUUGGAGAGAUCAACUGGGACAGCGUAGUUGCUCAGUGGUUAGCACCGCUGCCUCAUGGUACCAGGGACCCAGGUUCAAUUCCAGCCUUGGGUAAUUGUCUGUGUAGAGUUUGCCCCAUGUUUUGAUUGUUUGUCCUGUGUCUGUGAGGUUUCUUCCCACAGUUCAAACAUACGCAGUUUAAGUGGACUGGCCGUGAUAAAUGUGGAGGUCUGGGUGGGAUGCUCUUUGGAGGGCCGGUGCGGACUUGAUGGGCUGCUUUCACAAACAAGGAAAGAAAAAGACCGCAUGGUAUGGAGAAAUUAGCAGAAGACCAGCCAUUACACAGAUCACUGUUACACUGCUACAAUACACAAGCAUCACAGAUUGAAAAUAAUGUGGAUAUUCCAAAGAUCCUCUUCCUGUUGCCAUUGUUAACAUGCUUUCUCUUCGAAGUGCACAAAUUCUAAGGUCAUUUAAAACCUUUGAAUCUGCUCAUACUGUUCACCUUUGCAUGUGUAUAAAUAAAUUCUGUAUGUAAGCAAUUGUCAGCAUUCACUUGCUAACCAGUAGAAGUCCAUGGCCGUGGGCUCUGUGCGUCCGGGUGGCUGAUGAGCUGGAUCCUAGCGCCACAUUUCCGACUACGCAUUUGGCAGGUGUUUCCCAGAAGUGGAAGUAGUAAUUUAUUCGUUUAGCAGCUUUCAUGACUUUCAGGAUAUCCCAAAGUACUUUCUAACCAAUUAAGUACUUUUGAAGAGCAAACAUAGUUAUAAAUCCUGCAACCAGUUUCAUGCUGUAAAGUCUUACAAAAUCAAAACAAACAUCUCUAUACAAUGUAUAAUUAGGUGUUUGCAUAUAAAUUAUGAUCAGGACACCAAUUUACUUCCACUUUUCAAAUCAUGCUGUGAGAUCAUUUACGUGAGAGUUAAAAUAUCACUGAAAUAAACCAGAUUUGCGAAUACUGGAAAUCUAAAACGUACAAAAAAACCCAGAAAUUGCUGAAGAGGCACAACAAGGUCUGACGGCAUCUGCGGAGAGAAAACAGAGUUUACAUUUCGAAACCGGUGACCAUCUUCAGAAUCUUGUGGAGGAUGGGUCGCAGGAUUGAAACAUUAACUCUGCUUUCUCUCCACAGAUGCUGCUUUGUUCAUUCCGUUAUUUCUGCUUUGGUUUGUUUUAGGACAAGUAUCAACUUGCUUUGUCAUCUCAUCUGAAAUACAGCAUCUCUAACAGUGCUGCGUUCAUUCGGGACUGAUUAUCCCAAAUCGCUAGAAUGCGGUAUUAUCGAAAAGCCUCUAGCCUAGUGUUAAUAUUGGGCUGAGUUUAUCACUUGCGACAUACUCCUUUCUUUCUUGUUCAGAUAUUAGCUCCGUUUCCUCCUCCAGUCGAAACAAUUGAAUGUGGAUUCUAUUUCCCAUGAUUUGUGAUCCAACAGAUUUCAACAGGCAGCCCAUUUCACCGAAAUCAGCACAGCCAAGGCAAAAGAUCGCCACAUUUUUAGCACAAAUUACUUCCUGCACAAAUCGUGUUUCUACGGUCUUUAUGUAUUGGCCUAGAACAUGUCACCUUGCUUGGAAAGCCAGUCGCCUUCACCGAAGGCUUUAAAAUGUAAUGUUUAGAUUGUAAGAAUAGGUUUAUUUUAAAAUAUUUCGUUUGGUUCUGUACAGUAGCAUAUGAAGAAACAAACUGCUUUAGUGAUUAUACGUAUGUAAAUAUAUUUUGAGUAAUGUAUAUUUUUGAAAUUAAAAGGUCUUAAAUUAUGAAGAACUUGAUUAGUACAAGUUAUAAAUAAGUCAGUGAAGUAUUAAAAUAACACCAGCUAUUUGAAAUUGGGUUUCUAAUGAUGCCCUAACCACUGAUUAAAAAUGGUUAUUUUUACAGUAAGCCUAUAUUCAGAUAGUUAAAAUUGUACAAAUUUACGACUUAUUUUCUCAUUUCUAAAAAUGGUGUUCUAAGAUGCUGCCAAGUUGUCUCUUUUCAUAGCAGACUUUACAUCAAAUGAUUGGCAAAUAAAUUGGUUUGGAAAUUUGAAAGACAACGAAAAUCAUUUCUGACCCUGUUGGGAGUGCACUGUGACUGCAUUCAAAACUGAAACUAGAUAUUUUUAAUCAGUCUGUUAUGACACGCCCCUGGAGCAGGUGUAAC